GAAAAGCUUGUAGGAAGUUGACUUUGAAGAUAAACACACAGCUAGUGAUUUGCAAAGUGAAUGGCUGUUAUUUGGUGAAUAAGAUUAGUUUUAAUGGUUCUAGAGGGUAAAAAGAAGAAUUUCAAUAUAGCCAAAACAUGGGUUUCCCAGUCUGAAUCUCUAAUUCUUUGGCGAAUUCUGUUCUCUCCAAGUGGGAAAAGCCUGUAGGAAGUUGACUUUCAAGAUAAACACACAGCUAGUGUUUUGCAAAUUGAAUGGUGUUACUUGGCCAAUAAGCUUAGUUUUAAGUGGUUCUAUACGGUAAAAAGCAUACUUUUUUUUAUGGACAAAACAUGGGUUUCCUUUCCCAGUCUGAAUUGAUCAUUCUUUUGCGAAUCGUGUUCGUUCCAAGUGGGAAAGGAUUGUAGGAAGUU
rnacentral:lncRNA from 1 species